UUUGUGCAGUUCACGUCUGCAGACAUUUGCUCAUCUCCCGUCAGAACAGGAUCUGCACACGUGUUCACAUUUUCCAUUCCACAUUUAUAUUGUAGUGUACUGUAUGUAUGGAUCAUAAUAUAUUUGUGUAUAUUCUUUAUCACCGCGGACACGUGAGGUAACGUUACUCAUUGUAUAACCUUUAUGGUGUUAUAGUCAAUCGUGCUUAUGUAGCCACAUUCUUCUAUUAGCUCUGUAAAACAAUGCUAAAUGCGUCAGAGAAGUAUUAUCUUGUGUUGUAUUUUGAAGCUACAUGGCCUUAUGACUCCCAAGUGGUGUAGCGGUUAAAGGCACAGCACAUCAGUACUAGAGGCGUCACUACAGACUCCCUGGUUCAAAUCCAGGCUGCGUUUCCAUCAAAAAACUAGAAACAUUAUUUGCCAAUAUCAUAACUGGAGCUGGACAUCUUUGGAGCUGAAGAAUGAGGACAGGUUUUGUAUGCUAACGUACACUCCAGUUGUACUGGAUGAAAACACAGCAAGAAAACACAUAUGCCAAUAUGUAAUAGUCAUCUAUUGUAUUGCAGGAUUGGUAGUUGGUUCAACAACUUGUUUUACUAGAGGAGAAAAAACUGAAUAUGCAUAACCCAUAUUUAAUAUCCAUGCAGUGACUGAACAACAACUGCAUUUCCACCCCCAUCUCUAAGGCAUAGUAUCAUGGCUGGUCACCUGUCAAGUCACCUGUCAGGCAGACUUUGCAAUGCCUCCGUGUGCGACUACCUUGAGAAGCAGUUUGAGGGACUUUGCAGGGAAAAUGCCGUGCAGUGAGGCGUAGGGGAUUGUCUACAGCAGGACGACCCCCAGUGGAUGGGCGCCGAGGGGUGUGGUGCUCCUCCAGCAGCUCUCUCAUGAGGUUCUCUCUGUAUUUUUGGUGGUCCACCUUCCCUAUGGCCGACAUGGUUGCUGUAUGGACAGUGGAGAGGACAUGGACGUCUCGCUUGUCAUGCCACUUUACUGCCAGCUGUUGACCGUUCUCCUGGAACUCCACCUCCCCUCUCUGCAUCUUCCUGCAUCCGAAUGCCGGCAUCCCCUUCCGGUUCGACCUGACUGUGCCACAGGCCCCUGUGCUGUUGGAGAGCAGAUGCUGGAAAAGUGUGGGACUGCUGUACCAAUUGUCCACGUACAAAGUGUGUCCCUUGCCGAGAUGAGGAGCCAGCAUGGUCAUCACCACGGACCCUCAUAAUGUUUGAUGUCAGUGGUGGACCCUGUGUAAACUAUAAUGUCCUGAACAAAUCCUGUCUUCACGUCGCACAUGACAAAGAACUUGACUCCAAACCUCUGCCUUUUGGAGGGAAUAUAUUGACGGAACGCCAGCCUACCUUUCCAUAACAUCAGGGACUCAUCAAUGCAUAGGUCCUUGUAUGGCACAAAGACCCGACCAAAUGCUGAUGUCAGGCUGGUAAGAACAUUUCUUAUUUUGUGUAACGGGUCAUUUAGGAUGGCAGUAGCAUUGUUGAUGAAAUGCAGUCAUAGCAGCAGAACUAGAAAGCAGUCUUGGGAAAAGAGGGUGGCAAAGAAGGGAGUUGCAAACAUAGGACCUCUGCCCCAGUAUUCUCUUAUGGAGUUCCUCUUUACGGUCACCAGAAAUGUAUACAUUUCACUAAUUGUGGCUGCCCCCCCACUCCAUAUGGCUGCUUGUGUUGGGUCAAUCUUUCCUCGGCGCUAGGACAAAUGUAGCCUACAUUUUUCCGGUUAGGAUGAUUGUGUUAUGCUAUAUUUACUUCUGUGAAUAUCUGAACAAUGCAUCUAAAAAUAAACUGCUGACAUUCUGGA